UGGGGAAUUUUGGACAAUGGGCGCAAGCCUGAUCCAGCCAUGCCGCGUGAGUGAAGAAGGCCUUCGGGUCGUAAAGCCCUGUCAGCAGGGAAGAAACUCCGGGAUUCGAAUAGGGUCUCGGAUUGACGGUACCUGCGGAGGAAGCACCGGCUAACUCCGUGCCAGCAGCCGCGGUAAUACGUAGGGUGCAGGCGUUAAUCGGAAUUACUGGGCGUAAAGCGUGCGCAGGCGGCUCCUUAAGUCAGAUGUGAAAUCCCCGGGCUUAACCUGGGAACUGCGUUUGAAACUGAGGGGCUAGAGUGUGGAAGAGGGGGGUGGAAUUCCAGGUGUAGCAGUGAAAUGCGUAGAGAUCUGGAGGAACACCGAUGGCGAAGGCAGCCCCCUGGGCUAACACUGACGCUCAUGCACGAAAGCGUGGGGAGCAAACAGGAUUAGAUACCCACGUAGUCCCUGAGCGGGCUGGCAAGGCGCAU
rnacentral:rRNA from 1 species